rnacentral:rRNA from 1 species
GACGAACGCUGGCGGCGUGCCUAAUACAUGCCAGUAGAACGCUGAAGGAGGAGCUUGCUUCUCCGGAUGAGUUGCGAACGGGUGAGUAACGCGUAGGUAACCUGCCUGGUAGCGGGGGAUAACUAUUGGAAACGAUAGCUAAUACCGCAUAACAGUAGAUAUUGCAUGAUAUCUGCUUGAAAGGUGCAAUUGCAUCACUACCAGAUGGACCUGCGUUGUAUUAGCUAGUUGGUGAGGUAACGGCUCACCAAGGCGACGAUACAUAGCCGACCUGAGAGGGUGAUCGGCCACACUGGGACUGAGACACGGCCCAGACUCCUACGGGAGGCAGCAGUAGGGAAUCUUCGGCAAUGGACGGAAGUCUGACCGAGCAACGCCGCGUGAGUGAAGAAGGUUUUCGGAUCGUAAAGCUCUGCUGUAAGAGAAGAACGAGUGUGAGAGUGGAAAGUUCACACUGUGACGGUAUCUUACCAGAAAGGGACGGCUAACUACGUG